UACGUAGGUGACCAGCGUUGUCCGGAAUUAUUGGGCGUAAAGAGCUCGUAGGCGGUGUGUCACGUCGGCCGUGAAAACCUGCAGCUUAACUGUGGGCGUGCGGUCGAUACGGGCAUCACUGGAGUUCGGCAGGGGAGACUGGAAUUCCUGGUGUAGCGGUGAAAUGCGCAGAUAUCAGGAGGAACACCGGUGGCGAAGGCGGGUCUCUGGGCCGAUACUGACGCUGAGGAGCGAAAGCGUGGGGAGCGAACAGG
rnacentral:rRNA from 1 species